UACGUAGGGUGCAAGCGUUUAAUCGGAAUUACUGGGCGUAAAGCGUGCGCAGGCGGUUUUGUAAGUUUGUCGUGAAAUCCCCCGGGCUCAACCUGGGAAUGGCGAUGAAGACUGCAAGGCUAGAAUCUGGCAGAGGGGGGGUAGAAUUCCACGUGUAGCAGUGAAAAUGCGUAGAGAUGUGGAGGAACACCGAUGGCGAAGGCAGCCCCCUGGGUCAAGAUUGACGCUCAUGCACGAAAGGCGU
rnacentral:rRNA from 1 species